CCGUCUCUUCCCAUCUCCCCACACUUGCUCGCUCUCUCCCUGCCCCAACACUGCUCCGGAAGCGAAGGCCCUCCCCUGCGCUCCUGCUCUCCUGCUCCAGGUGUUACUCUGCUGAGCCAAGAGUGUAUUUUACUCUCUCAAGUAAAGCACACAGCACCGUCUUUCCGGGCCCGCGGCUCCUCUGCUUUUGGACUCUUGGACAGAAGGGCGUUGAGAGGUCCUGGGAGGAGGAAAGGACAUGUUGCUCUUGGCAGAAUAGCAGGAUGUACACAUCCUCCUCUGACCUUCUCGGCAUAGCACUUUCAUGAAGAGUUUGGGUUCUGGACUCCAACUACCAAGGUAGCCCAGUUCUCCCACUUACAAGUUACUGUGGUAGUUUGAAUGAGAGUUGUCCUCCAUAGACUCGACUCGCCUUUUUAAACACUCACCUUUUAAAACCCAGGUUGGUGGUGCUGUUUAAGGAAUGUGUUAGUUACUUUUCUGUAGAUCUGAUAAAAAUACCAUAUCCACGGCAACUUACAGAAGAAAGAAUUUCUUUGGUUUAUGAUUUCAGAGGGUUAGAGCCUGUAAUGGCAGAGCUAGCACCAGGCAUCAGAUGGAAGGCGUGGCAGCCGGAAGAGGAAAUGGGGAGCUCACCUCUUGAACCACAAGCAUAAAGUAGAGGGACCGAGCUAGAAGUGUAGAGCGCACCUCCUGUUACAUACUUCUUCUGGCAAGGCUCCACUACCCAAACCUCCCCAAACGAUGCCAUCAACUGGGGACCAAGUGUUCAAAUGCCCUAGAUUAUAGGGGGUUAAUUCUCACUGGAACCACUUUGGGGAGAUUAUGGGACCUUUAGGAGGCGGAGCCUUGCUGGAGGAAGUACAUGCUUUCUGUUUUCUCUCUGCUUUGUAUUUCUGUUGAAGUUGUGAUCUCUCAGCUUCCUGCCACCAUGCCUGCCACUUACUGCCCUUGCCUCUCUGCCAUGAUGGACCCUUGCCUCUCUGCCAUGAUGGACCCUUGCCUCCCUGCCAUGAUGGACCCUUGCCCAUCAGGAACUAUGAAUCAAAAUAAACACUUUUGUCUAAAGUUUCUUUUGAUCAUGGUAGGACACAGAAAAAUAACUAAUACAGAAGGGUAAGCGAAUUAUUUAAUCUCUCUGGGUUUCCAUUGCUUCUUGUGUAAAAUGGAAAUCUGUAACCGGUGGCUUUUCUCUGUCCCGUCCUGUCCUGCUGCUGCUUGUAAAUAAUCACUCAGAGGCUUAAUAUUAAUUACAAAUUGUUUUGCCUAUUUCUCAGGCUUAUUACUAACUAGCUCUUAUAAAUUAAAUUAACCCAUUUUUAUUAAUCUAUGUUUUGCCAUGUGUCAUGUGGCUUUACCUGUGCUCUAAUACAUCUUGCUCCUCUGGAGGCUAGCUAGUAUCUUCUCCCUGUAUCUCUGUUUGGAUUUCCUGCCUGGCUCUAUCCUGCCUUGCUAUAGGCCAAAGCAGCUUCUUUAUUAACCAAUGGCAAUAAAAUAUAUUCACAGCGUACAGAAAAACAUCCCACAGCAGAAAUCCACCAGCACCUACUUCAUGCUUGUCAGAAAAUCAAAUAAGUUCAUAGCUAUGAAAUCCUGGGGACAA